GCUGGGCAUGGUGGUGCAUGCCUGUAGUCCCAGCUACUCAGGAGGCUGAGACAGGAGAAUCGCUUGAAUCCAGGAGAUGGAGUUUGCAGUGAGCCGAGAUCACGCCACUGCACUCCAGCCUGGGCAACAGAGCAAGACUCUGUCUCAA
rnacentral:SRP_RNA from 1 species